ensembl:lncRNA
GGGGGGUUCUGGAUACAGACUAGUUACUGACUGACUAGUGGGGGGGUUCUGGAUACAGACUAGUGACUGACUGAAGGGGGGGGUUCUGGAUACAGACUAGUGACUGACUGAAGGGGGGGUUCUGGAUACAGACUAGUGACUGACUGAAGGGGGUUCUGGAUACAGACUAGUGACUGACUGAAGGGGGGGUUCUGGAUACAGACUAGUGACUGACUGAAGGGGGGGGUUCUGGAUACAGACUAGUGACUGACUGAAGGGGGGUUCUGGAUACAGACUAGUGACUGACUAAAUGGGGGUUCUGGAUACAGACUAGUGACUGACUGAAGGGGGGGGUUCUGGAUACAGACUAGUGACUGACUGAAGGGGGGGUUCUGGAUACAGACUAGUGACUGACUGAAGGGGGGGUUCUGGAUACAGACUAGUGACUGACUGAAUGGGGAGUUCUGGAUACAGCCUAGUGACUGACUGAAUGGGGGGGUUCUGGAUACAGACUAGUAACUGACUGACGGGGGGUUCUGGAUACAGACUAGUAACUGACUGACGGGGGGGUUCUGGAUACAGACUAGUAACUGACUGACGGGGGG